GUAAAUCUCCCAGAGAUGCCACGACAAUCCCAGGAAAGAGGAUGUAAGGGUUUAUGUUCGGAGGCAUGUUUGUGCACACCUGCAUAUCCUGUUACCUGCCUAACCUCCGUGCGAACUCUCAGCACUUGUCUCUUGGAUAUCUCCUCCUGGCUGGUUUCCUCUGUAGUGGAGAGGCAAACCGUUUCCCUGUGCCCCCAGCCUUGCUGUGCCACGCUCAGCACCACGCAGGGACAGGCACUGCAUUGUUCUGCUUGGGACAUCGAGCUUAUGGGCAGGGUGAAACCUCAGCACCCGGUUGGUCAUCCUCGAGCAAGAGGGACUGGCACAGCUGAGAGGAUGCAGAUCAAGCAAGGACCACAAGAGGAGGCUGGAGAGGAUGCAUUGUGUCUCAGAGGGGUGAGGAAACUCUAGGAAGGGAAGCAUUGAAGUGAGAGCCAGGGCUGCACAGCCAGAGCCCUGCAGAGACAACUCUUUCCCUCCCUAUUUCAGUACUAGGCAAGGUGCCCUGAUCUUGGGAUGCGCUAAGCACCCAGAGGUCUCUUGAGUUCAAAAAAGAAGUGACAGUGCUUGAGAUUUUGUAAAAUAAGUUCCAAAUCUGCUCUUUAGUUGGGCUCUCUUGGUACAUAAGGUAGGAAUGGGAUUGCCCUGGAUUGAUCAAAGCAUGGUAGUCAAAGUCACCUGAUAGGUAGAUAAAAUGUCAAUUAGCAUUUCCGUUUCCCCAAAAUGGCUUGGGACAGGGUUUAGUCUGUUUCCAUAUUUUUGUUUUGUGAUGCCUCCUUGUGCUCAGUGGAGCCUGGUAAUUGGCUGGAGCCUCUAGGCUUUACUGCAUUAAAAAUAAUAAUAUGAGGCUAUCUACAUUCUUCUUGUCUCUCUGAUGGGCAGAGAUUUUGUAAUCCUGGGUUUUAACACAGUGUGCUAUUGCUCCCACUUCUGCUUGACAUUUCUCGCUGAAUUUAGUUGUGCUUAAGUUGGCAGCUGCCCUCAAGCCUCUGUAGCUUAACAUUCUUCCCAGAUAGGGCUAUGUAUCUGAGACUGAUUUAAAUUUAAAACACCAAUAAUAACAAGAACAAAAGCUAGUGUCUUCAUUCAGCUCUGGAACAGCUUUACUCUUGUGGAAAGUCUCUUGUGAUAAAAUUAUAGAACCUCCCAUGGUAAUGUUCUAUCCCUAAUCACUGCCAUCAGUCAUGUCGCAUAAUGCAGAUAAGUACUAUGUGAACAGGCAAUGAGUUCUGGUCACCCUGCUAAUGUCACUGUUUACCCUUAUUAUAAAAUGUUUGUGUUCUGCGCACAUCUUUUGCUGUUGCCCUUCUCUAUUAAUUCUGGAUUAUUAUCCAUCAGUAAUCAUCAUUCAUUGCUUCCCUGUUUGUCUUGGCAAUAAGAGGCUUUUGUCCUCUCUUGUUUGUUUUCUUCUGUUGUGCUCAUUUGUUUCUUACUCAGUUAUAUAGUAUGGCUGCCCGUGGUCAGGAAAACAUUCACCCAGAACAUGCCAGAUCUAGCUAUGAUGACUUCACUUGACUUCCCACAAGAAUUACUUGCUUCUCCUGGGUAGGUUCAGUAAGCAUUCUCCAUGCUUCUCUCCAGGGCCUCAGGCUUGGGAUAGGAAUAGCUGCAGCAAGAAAGUAAAGACAGCUUCCUAUCUCAUGAACCUGGUGCUGUGCAUCACUGCUGAUGGGGUAUGCAAAAGAUACUGUAGCUGCUGCUUUCUUCAGGUUGUGCAUGCUGCUUCCCAGGAUUUGUGUCAAAGCAAGGGGGACUCAGACUUUCAAAAGUUACUCUUCCUCUCUGGCCAGCCAGGCUGCACACAGCUCCACGUUGUGGCUGGGCUCCCACAAGACAAGGCUUGAUGAAAGCAGGAACCGGAUUCCACCUAGAUCAUCAAUAAGUACUGGAGUCCUGGAGUGCAAGUCAGAAGCAUAUUGUAAAUCAUAUGUAUCAUCACAUGGACGAUCAUAUCUCACUGCUGUGCUGUCAACCCUGAAGCUUGCGUUUCACUGUUUACCUUCCCGUCUCCUAAUUGCAUCUGAAAAGAUGCUUAUGGGAAGAUAUCCUGUUUCCUGAAGCUUUUGGCUUCUGUGCAGAGGCAGGCGUAAAAUUAAUUUCUUUCUGCUGGCAUAAGACUGUUAAUACUUCUUAUAUCCAGAUUUUGAUGUACUAAAAUACUCAAAUAUAGAAAUGGCAAUGAAAACUGAGCCUAUUACUGGUUUAUUGCAUCAAAACUGCCCAUGUAUGGCAUAAAUGUCACCAAUGACUUAUAAAUAAAUUAGAGAGAAGACAGACAAAGAGAAACAAACCUAAGUACCAGAAAGGAAAAGUCCUCAUCCUGCAGUCAGAUCUGUCCUGGCCACAGAUAAUGUUGUGUGGGUUUUAGUUUUUGGAUCUUUUAAGUAUAUUUGAAGACUGGGCUCAGUGCACAAUAUAAACUUCACCUCUGCCCUUGACUCAGGUGGCAAGUUGUGUGGAAUGCCAUCUGUAGCCUCUUGCACUGUGAUGAGAUUCAUCCUUAUAUUUUAAAUAAUGAAAUUCUGAGUCCUUCUGUUAGCAAAGAUAACCUUCACUAUGUAAAUCAACGCAGUGGUAUUUUGUUGAGUUUGCCAACAGACAAAUAAUGCUAAUAUAUGUGUGAAGUUUCUCAAUGUUAACUUUGAAAUAUAGCUCAGGCCAUUUAAAUGCCAACACUUUUAAGUCACUAGUCAAAAUAAAAACACCCAGCUUGAGUUACUGAAAUUUAAUUAUAAGGAACAGCGGGGCCUGGUUUUGAUUUUGACUCUAAGGACCCAGGAAAAGAAACAAGAACGUGGGCUCAAUAGGCACACAUAUACACUGGGUUUCUCAACCCAAGGGAAUAAAGCCAGGUGGAGCUAUCUUCGGAUUCUUCAUACUGGUCAGGCACAGUUGCUGAAAAACGCACUCAAAUACCCUCUGAAGAAUAUUCAUUUACUCUUCAAGUAGGCCACUGAGGUCAAACAUAAAGAAACUCCAGUUCUCCCUUACACUGUCUCUACUAUUUCAUCUUCAGACACUGCUCCCAUCCUGGCACAUUUUAGUUCAUGGAGGUAGCAGUUGAGGUUGGUGGCUGUUACUCAUUCAUCUACAAGGGGUUUGCUCUUCAAUGAUGUUCCUGGAGAUACUCCACAGGAAACCACUUCAGUCUUGCCCCAUCUCUUCUCUUUCCACACCCCAUUAUUAUCCUGCUUCCUGACAAAGCAGCAGAAAUGACUGCAUGGAUGAUAAGGGCGGUUGCCUCCUCAUUAUUGUGGUUUCCAUUUUAGGCUGCCUCUAAUUCACACUAAAAUGAGUGCAAAUACCUGUUUUGCUGCCAGAGGGUCUGGUAGUUCAGUCUGUCUUCAGUUGUACACCUGAAAGGGUUUUAACCUGGUGAGAUCUGUCUGCAAUGAAAUACAUGCAGAUCCACGGGGGAAAGAACAGUAGGAAGUAGCCAUGACAAAGGUACAGCUGUUUGUCAAGACUGAAAGUCAAUGGCAUAACCUUUAAUUCCUGCUUGUCACAUAAGAAAAAAAAAAUAAAUUAAAAAAAAAAAAAAAUAAGAGAAGAGCACCUGUUCAGACAAAGGACCCAGUGUUUAGAUUCUGUAGGGAUUCAAGUGAAAAAAGUCUCAUGUUCUGUGCUCAGACCUGGCAGAAGAUAAAUCCUCCACUUUCAGAUAUGGACCUCUAUCAGGUUUAAAGCUUUUGCCCGGUUCAGUAUUUUCCUGCUUUAGGGGAUGAAAUCUGUAAUGGUUUACUUUCAGGAUCCAGAGAUUGUUUCAAAUUGGUUGCAAAUAUCAGGUUUUCAGAAAUGAAACGUUGAAUUCUGUGUUUAAAAAUAAAGUCCGUACACAUUUUAAAGCAACAAGCUACUACUGCAGAAAGCUUGGUGGAAACUUGUGCAAUGCCGUGAAUCACAGCAAAGAAGUAAAAUUGCUGAAAAUUAAGAAUUGAAUCUUUUCCUUGUGAAAGCAGCGCAUCAACAUUGAUUUAAGGGAAGCUACAAAGAUUUCUUCCUACUAAGGAUCUGGUUCUUCUGCAUGGCUAAUUAAUAGUUAUCUAGGAAAUAAGGUAACAUAUGCUAAGCCCACUGCCACUAUUUAUAAACACGCUCUAGUCUUCUUUGUUCCCUGAGGUAAUCAGAAGCUAGGAGCUUUUGCUGGCAUGCAGAUUUGGGCUGCUAAUUUAAUAAAACACAUUACCCAUUAAUUUGAGUCCUUUUAGGAUGUCAGUGUUUACUAGUCGACAGUUUCUUCUGCAGUAUGAGACUUAAUUGCAAAAUUUAGUUGUCUGUUCUGCUUAGCAAGAGACUUGGAGAGAGACAUGUACAACAUGCUGAAAAUUCAGGAAAGGAAGAAAUUUUGGAGGCCACAAAGAUCUUGUAGGCCUACUUUCAUCAGGGCAGGGGCAGGGCAGCAAGACUAAAGCAGUAGCGAAUGGCUACAGCAUCGUCCCAAUUCCAGAGCUUUGCAAGGUCAGGAGCCCCUUUGAGGAAUUCGGGAUAUGUGCAGUUACUCUCAGCAGCACUUUGCAAGGUGGUGCAAAGCUGAGGAUCUCAUUCUGGUGACAAGUGUGAGUUUCUGCAAACCAAUUAAAUCCGACAUAUUCUGGUCUUGGAGUGAGGCUGUUAUCAAACUGCUGGUCUAGAUGGAGCAAAGUGUGAAAUUCACUCUACCAAAGAAUAAUCCAGCCAGCAAAGACCGUCAGCAUCACCACUACUCUAUGUGCAGCUCUUGGAGGAAGAAAGUGAAGACUCUGAGAAGCCACAGGCUCAGAAGAGGUAGAUAAAUAACACUGUGUCAUUUUAAGCUUCUGCCAAAUAGGGGCCAGUGGCAUGUCCCACUGGCUGGAAGCAGGACUGUAUCUCAUCUGACUUUGAGAAAAGUAACCAAGUAAAAUUGCUAAGCCAGACAGCAGCCUGGACCAGCACCACCUCAAUGAUUUGAGGAACCUAUAGCUUAAUGCUACCUAAAUAUGUGGCCUGUUAUUAUUUUCCAACCUUUUAAUUAUCCAAAGAUUGUUUAAUUGACAGGUCUUACAGAAGCCUGUAAAACUGCAUUUCUUCAUGUCUAGUGAAUAUGUGUGUUUACUGGGGAAGGGAAUGCUUAACUGGAACACACAUACGCGAUCUCUGUUUAGAAAGAUGUUUUAUUUUUCUUUACAAUAAGAAGUCAGUCUUAAAGGACUGAGGUAUCAGGUAGAACAUGCUCAGAUAGGCUGCCCAGAGAGGUUGUAGAGUCUUCUCUGGAGACAUUCAAGACUCACCUGGACACAUUCCUGUGCGAUGUACUCUGGGAGAACUUUAGCAGGUGCAAAUUUCAUGGGUUUCCUUUUCCUUCCCUGGGAAAACCUUGCUACUAACCUUACAUAGAAAAAGCUACAAAAGGCUGUCAGCACUUCCACCAAUCCCCAUCAGGUAGAGCAGUAAGAAACUGCAGGCCAGAGCAUAGGAAUAAUUCUGCAACACACUACAGAGAAAGCUGAUCUCACAUAUAGAAUCGUAGAAUCAUUUCAGUUGGAAGAGACCCUCAGGAUCAUUGAGUCCAACCAUAACCUAACUCUAGCACUAAACCAUGUCCCUAAGAACCUCAUCUAAAUGCCUUUUAAACACCUCCACGGAUGGGACUCCACCACUUCCCUGGACAGCCUGUUCCAAUGCCUGACAACCCUUUCCAUGAAGAAUUUUUCCUUAGUACUCAAUCUAAACCUGGUGCAACUUGAGGCCAUUUCCUUUUUUCCUAUCACUUGCUACUUGCGACAAGUGACCAACACCCCCCAUGCUACAACCUCCUUUCAGGUAGUUGUAGACAGCAAUAAGGUCUCCCCUCAGCCUCCUUUUCUCCAGGCUAAACAGCCCCAGCUCCCUCAACCACUCCUCAUCAGACUUGUGCUCCAGGUCGCUCACCAGCUUCAUCGCGCUCCUACAUUCACCACAACUCUUUGGCCCAGCCCUCCAGCCAGUUCUUUAUCCAUCAAAGAGUACAACCAUCCAGGCCAUGAGCUGCCAACCUCUCCAGGAGAAUGCUGUGGGAUACAAUGCCCUUUAGCACAAUCAGGAAAGCACACGUUUUCACCAUUUCUCAGAAUGAUGGUGUUGAACAGCUUCCCAAACUGCUCCACAGGGUGCUCCUCCAGCCCUGCUCCUUGAUGAAGCCAUCAGCACCUGGAAUCAGAAGCCUCAUGCCGUGGCCUCUCUGGGACCUCAGAGAAAUGCACCAGGCAGAGUCAUCUCAUCCAUAUUCAGCAACAUUCAUUGUGCUGAGACUGUUCUUCAGGCUUUGAGAAGCACUCUCUGAUUUUUGCUCUGCUGGAAUUUGCUGAACUGGCUUGAAACAAGCCUGGACCACUUAAUAUGUUUAGAGAUAAUCCUAAAAAGCUGCGUGGAGUUUUCUCAGUGCUGUUUUCCUGGUUUGUGCCUUUAAAACAAAACAAAACAAAACAAAACUGUGUGUCUUGUUCCUUAUUAGUGCCUAUAGCUGGUGUAUUGUACAGAGUAAUUUCUCCACAUCUGCUGAAAGGUCAGACUUCAUUGUAAAAAUAGUCAAGAAAAAGGUCUCUUUGGUUUGGUUGGUUGGGUUUUUUUUUAUUCUUACAAGGUCCAAGGCUGGUGCAUGAACAGUUAGAAACUAGCCCAUACAGGAAGAAAGUCAGAACACCAGGGUAUCUUCAGGAAAGUCAUUACAGAUUCCUCAACAAGUUGUGCAGAUAAGCAGCAAAUAAUGUUGACAGUGAACAUUUAGAUUUUACUCCCGUUCAUGGAAAAGUUUUCAUCCCAAAAUGAGGAGCCCCUGCAUGAUCCAUCUGUGUACUCCAAAGCAUGAUUUGAUGUUAGGGCUUAAUUCAAUUUCAGACUAAUGAAAGCCAUAAAUAGUUUCAUAAGGCCAGUAGAAUGAGGAAAAUACAAACUAAAUGGAGACAACGUUCAGUUAAUGAAAUGUUUUGAAAUUAGAAACACUGGUUUUAAAUUAAAUGUUUCUUAGGCAAUCUGGACCUGUUUAGAAAGCCUAUAUUUACUUACCCAAGUUUGAAAGUGAAAAGCAAUUUCAUAGGUGUGUGUUUGCCCUAAACUUUUUUGUCUGCAUUUCUAAGGGCUUUUGAUAUGCCACUUUGUGGAGUGGUCCCUGCUUUAAACAACAUUAUUGUUCUGCAAAUGAUCGAUGGCUUCUCUGAACAUAGUGGAAAACACAUAUGUCCCAUCUGCAUAUCUGAUUAUAUUCAGAAUGUAAGCCACAGCCAGUGACAGAUCUUUGGUCUCCCAAAAUUUUACCCCUCUUAGAAAUGACCAUUUUUAUCCCAUUGUGAUAUUUAUCCCACUUUUGAUUUUUUUAACUCUGCAACACCGAAGCCAAACAGGAUGAGUUGACCUUACUUGGACCUUACCAGGACAAGGAAGUCAGGAUGUAGCAGCAGGUAAUAAUUUUUAAGCACAAGGUUAAAUAGCCUGAGGUUAGAGAGGAAAAGCUCAGCAAAACACUUCUAAUUGAUUUGAUAUAGGCAAUCACACUGUUUGCAUCUGUAAACAGAGCCUGUGCAAUAAAAGAUAUUAAAAAAAAAUAAAAAAACCAAACCAAAACAAACCAAACAAACAAACAAAAAACACAGAAAAAGCUAUUAUUUUCUAUGUUUUAGCAGCCCCAGGUUCCUCCCACAAAUCCUGCAGGACUUCUCAGUUGGUUCUACUUCACUAAUUGUUUUCACUCACUCUGGGUCAUACAGUCUCACAUAGCUGCACAUGAUUAACACCACUGCCAAUUAUUACUUCUUUAUCAUCUCUUUAAUUCACUGCUAGACUUUUUGUUCUUUGAUUAAUUGGAUCCUUUCUUUUUUCUCAAUUUACAGCCUGAUCUUUAAGAAACACUGAACGUGGCCACUCCACAUGCCCAGUUCCUUGCUCUUGCUUUCUUUAAUAUUUGUUUCCUUCCUUCUGCUGCUGCUUAUGGCAUGCUGUGGUUUUUACAGCUUAAGUAGUUUGUCAUACGUCUAUUUUUGGGCAAUUAUCAUUAAACUUUACCAAUCUGUGUGUCCUCACAGAAGGAGUGUGGGCCUGGAAGUGAGGAGGAUGUGGCUUUCUGUUCAUGGAUGUCGCUUUAUAUGUCAGUGCCAGAGAUUCCCUCAUUUCCAGAAAGCAGACAUGUAUGUUUAGUGUUGUCUCUUCUAGAGACACUCUGGGAAAAUUAUUUGGAGAACCAAAUUCCCUGCUAACAAAACUAGUGGGAUUGCUCCAGGGCAAAAUGUGACCCAGUGGCUGUGUAGCAUUUCAGAAGUCCACAUUUUUGCAUCCUCUCUUAGUAUUUCACCAUUCAGAGGAAUACAGGGCAUCUAACAAAUAGCAUACUAUGAGUCUGUUGGGGCUAGUUGAUGGAUUACAUGCUGAAAGUACAAAACUUGUGAUAGAUCUGAGGAGGUUUAUUCUUUUCCCCCUUACAGAGGCUUCUGCCUAAUUGAGCAAUUUUGUUUUCUAGCUAAGGACAAACAAGCUUCUUAGAGUAUGGCCCCACCAAACUAUGGCUGAACACAAAGAAGAACAUUUAGUAGAAGUUGCAGCUCAGUCUCCACAUCUAUGUAGACUCAUUAGCAAGAGCCACACACUGACACUUGUGUAACUUUUGCUUCUGAGCUGGCAUGGUCUCUCCUCAGCAUCUGCCCUGUGUUUGAAGAGUAGCUGGGCAUAGUUAAACCAUGCCUUUGUUUUAACAAGCUCCAGUUGUGUAUUUCACCAGAAAGCAAAAUCUUCAUAAAAAAGACUGGAUUUACAGUGACAAAAAGAUGCAAAAUGAACACACAUUAUGCAUUAGAUAGGGUUAUAAAUACUGAGACAUUUUAUUUGGAAGAAGACAAGAGAAGAAUGUGUUUAUGUACAUGUACUAGAUAUAAAAGCAUAAAUGCUGAAACUUUCGCAUUUGAACAUGCAUCGUAACAACAAAGUCGAGAUUGGGUGUGAGGAAAAUCAGUAGGCUUGCUGUAUAAUAGCUUUUAUUUACAAUUUAUCCGCAGUUUUUGGUAGCAUUCACAGUGAUUUACAGGAUUCCAUUUAUAUGCUUAUUACAAUUUACAGUAUUUGCUGUAAGCACUGAAAGUUGACUGGAAACUAUUAACACCUAUUUAUCAGAGUGUUAUAAGCAGAAGUCUUGAGACUGCAUCUAAUGCUUUUGGAAUAGUUUUGUAGAGACAAAAAUCUGUCUUGUGUUUCAGCAUUAAGGAAGGACAGAAGGAGGGAAAUUGAGUUGCUAUAGCAUCUAUAUAUAUAUAGCAGUUCCUUGAGCAAUAUUCAGAGUUAAUUCAAACAAGAGAGAAGUGAAUUCUUCUCUUUGUUGUUUACCAUUAAUAGAAGAGUUGAUUGUGUAAGAUGCAGCUACUGAGGCAUAAUAAGAGAGGAUGGCUGAAAUGUAUCCAAAACUGGAACUUGACCAGCACUGUUGGUAAUACAUGGGAAGGAAAGAAAGAAUCCAAGUUGCCACCUAUCUGGAAAGCCCUCUGAACAGCUCAGGCAUCAGAAAAAGUCUUGAGGAGCCAACAAGAAAAAAAAAGAAAAAAAAAGAUGUCACAGAAGAAAAAGUAAUGCAAAGCCUGACAAAACCGCAUUGCUCCUUCCCUUCAAUAUCUGAAAGUAACGUCCCAGUCAUGGAUCUGUAAUGUCAGGGAGAGAAGAGAUUUUUUUUUAAAAAAUGCAGAUUCUCAAAUAUAUUUAUUUUUUAAUACCUUGGACAGAGACAAAGUAGUAUUGCAUUUCUGUAAGCCAAACCUUAGAAUCUUGCCAUGUCAUAUAUAUACAAUACAGUAUUUGAUUUUGUCUAAAUAAUAAUAUAAAUAUACAAAUUAGAUAAACUGCUACAAUUAAAUGAUGGGUUUUCUACGCCGGUGGUUGUAUGCUCUUGCAACUAUGCUGAUGAUCUUCAGUUCGAUAAUUGGGUAGACAUUAGAACAAGACUUUGUCGAUCAUAGAAAUCAUUUCUACUCUUUUCUCAGAGGGAAAUCCAGAGUGUUGUACACAAGAGUACAAGAAACUAUAUAUUUUGUACUGGCUUCCAGAACUGGCUGGGUCAUACCUUUACUAAGCAGGGCACUGUUUGAUCUUCAGCAUAGCUGGAACAUGGUUUGCUAUUAAGCUAUGUGGGACUAACAUAAACUUAUGCUUCCUAGGUUUACUGUAAAACACACAUGUAACAGGCUAAGAAAGUUUAGUUCAACCUGACACAACACUGACACAUUGCCCAGCUCUCAGCUGUACUACUUAAAUUGUGGCAUCAUAACUGUCAGUGUGGUCUGACAUAAUCUGCGAAAGUAUUGUAAAUGCCUUCUCUUUCUGUGUGUUACCAUGGACAAAUUUAAUGGUUAAUUGCAUGUUGGAUUCUACACCUCUGGCAUAUCAUAUAAUUCUAUGACUCCAGUUCAUCCACAAAUACACUUAAAAUUAAGUUUCUGGGGUUUAUCAUAGAUUAAAAUGUCACUGUGAAGAGUUCUACUAUUGUCUCAAUUAGAUCUUAUAAAUGUAUUCUUGUUAGCCAAUUAAAUAAUUCUGUUUUAUAAGAGAUUGCAUUAAUAACAAUCGGCAUACAUUAAUUCAAAUUUUUAGGAAGGUAUUAUCAUGAAUAAAACCCAUCAGGAACAUGUCUCCCUGCCGUUCUCUUCAUGAUUCUGUAUUUUAAAUGACAACUUAUCUCAAAAUUCAGGACAAAAGGCCUUGACUGAAGACAUUUUAAGCUGAUAGAAAGUCUAACCUAUUUCAAAAUGCUUCAAACUAGCCUUGCUAGUCACCACUAAUAUUAUCAAAG